rnacentral:lncRNA from 1 species
UCUGGGAAUUCUGGGAAUUUGGGCGUUGUGGAACAGGUGUAAAUCCUGGAAUUCUGGAACAGGAAAAAUCUGGGAAUUUGGGCAUUCUGGAACAGGUACAAAUCCUGGAAUUCUGGGACAGGAAAAAUCUGGGAAUUCUGGGAAUUUGGGCGUUGUGGAACAGGUGUAAAUCCUGGAAUUCUGGAACUGGUAAAAUAUCUGGGAAUUCUGGGAAUUUGGGCAUUCUGGAACAAGUGCAAAUCCUGGAAUUCCGGGAUAGGAAAAUCUGGGAAUUCUGGGAAUUUGGGCAUUCUGGAACAGGUGCAAAUAGUGGAAUUCUGGAACUGGUAAAAUAUCUGGGAAUUCUGGGAAUUUGGGCGCUCUGGAACAGGUGCAAAUCCUGGAAUUCUGGGACAGGAAAAAUCUGGGAAUUCUGGGAAUUUGGGCAUUCUGGAACAGGUACAAAUCCUGGAAUUCUGGAACAGGAAAAAUCUGGGAAUUCUGGGAAUUCGGGCGCUCUGGAACAGGUACAAAUCCGGGAAUUCUGGAACAGGAAAAAUCUGGGAAUUCUGGGAAUUUGGGCAUUCUGGAACAGGUGCAAAUCGUGGAAUUCCGGGAAUUCUGGAACUGGUAAAAUAUCUGGGAAUUUGGGCGCUCUGGAACAGGUACAAAUCCUGGAAUUCUGGGACAGGUAAAAUCUGGGAAUUCUGGGAAUUCGGGCGCUCUGGAACAGGUACAAAUCCAGGAAUUCCGGGACAGGAAAAAUCUGGGAAUUCCAGCAGGAUCCCGCAGGAAUCCCAUCCCAGAAAUCCGGGAAUUCCGGCCAUUCCAGCAGGAUCCCACAGGAAUCCCAUCCCUCAAAUCCAGGAUUUCCAGCGGGAUCCGUCCAUUCCCGUGGCAAUCCCACCCCAGAAUCCGGGAAUUCCGUCCGUUCCCGCGGGAAUGCUCGGAAGGGCGGCAGGGAAUUGCUCGGACAGGCGAGAGGGAAUUGGGAAUUCCGGCGUUUUCCGGGAGCCGCAGCCGCAGCUGCGAUUCCGGAGGCUGCUCCCGGAAUUUUCCAUGGAAUUCUCGCCCNCCAGGACAGGUAAAUCUGGGAAUUCUGAGACAGGUAAAACCGGGAAUGCCGGGAAUUCCGGAACAGGUAAAACCGGGAAUGCCGGAACAGGUAAAAUCCGGGAAUGCCGGGAAUUCCAGGAAUUCUGGGGCAGGUAAAUCUGGGAAUGAUGGCAAUGCCAGGACAGGUAAAUCUGGGAAUGCCGGGAAAUCCAGGAAUUCUGGAACAGGUAAAUCUGGGAAAUCUGGGAUGGUUAAAAUCCAGG